CUUGUUUCUUUCAUUUCGAAAUGGCUUCUUCUGACGAUUCGUGUGGUGAUGACGGUUAUGAAAUUUGAAUACGGAUGUAUGUUGCAGCUGGCUCGCUAAUUCUCUUAUCGAGUCUGUUCGUUCGAAUGCUAUUGAACUGUUUGUGCGUUUUUGUGUGUUUAGAGUGUAGUCUUCUCUUGUUUUGCCUAUCUCGUUCUAAGUUUGUUCAUGUUGUUUAUCUCGCUGGAGUUGUAGCUGAAGCCUCUCUUCAUUUGAACCAUCUCUAAGUUUUGUUGAAG
rnacentral:misc_RNA from 1 species